ACAGCCAUGCACUUCCAAAGUGAUGUGGCAAUGAAUUGCUGUGUGCCAGGAUUCCAUUCCCAUCUGAGCAUCAAAGGUAUUCAAUUCCCAAAGGUGUUUGAGGAUAUUAGAUGCCUAGAAAACUGUGGUGGGAGGAAUUUGAACAGGCAACCCCCAAAGACGGGAGACCUUUAUGGAAGUGCAACAUUUUCUACCCAGGAGCGGAGAGCUUGACAAUGAGAGAUUUAGAGCUGGUCCAACAGAUUGCCAGACUUUUAACUGGAACAAUAGCAGCUCUCAUAGAUGAUGAUGAUGAUGAUGAGGCCACCAAAUGGAUGUCAUCUGUUUAAACCAGAUGAUUCAGAGAAGUCUUUCUCAGCAUCUCUCCUUCUUCUCAGCUUUGUAAAAGGAUUUAUGCAACACAAAUAAUUUUUCACCAUGCUAGACACUGGAUAUCCCUUCACGAAUACUAAAUAUACUGCCCAGAGAACCAAAAAAGCACAUAUGCAAGGGCUUAAUUUUAGGCAG